UACGAGAGGUCCUAGCGUUAGUCGGAAUCACUGGGCUUAAAGGGUGCGUAGGCGGGUCUGUAAGUGCUUUGUGAAAUCCCCGGGCUCAACCCGGGAAUUGCAGGGCAUACUGCGGACCUUGAGGAAUCUAGAGGCCGGCAGAACGAUAGGUGGAGCGGUGGAAUGCGUAGAUAUCUAUCGGAAUGCCAAAGGUGAAGACAGCCGGCUGGGGAUUUCCUGACGCUGAGGCACGAAAGCGUGGGGAUCAAACAGG
rnacentral:rRNA from 1 species